rnacentral:rRNA from 1 species
UUGUGGUUAAAAAGCUCGUAGUUGGAUCUCAACAGCCUUGAAGCGGUUAACUUUGUAGUUUUACUGCUUUAUAGGCUGUGCUUUUGCUGGAGGUUUAGGGGUGCUCUUGAUCGAGUGUCUCUGGAUGCCAGCAGGUUUACUUUGAAAAAAUUAGAGUGCUCAAAGCAGGCUAAAAUGCCUGAAUAUUCGUGCAUGGAAUAAUAGAAUAGGAUGUCGAUCCUAUUUUGUUGGUUUUCGGGACUCGACAUAAUGAUAAAUAGGGACAGUCGGGGGCAUUUGUAUUCAAACGACAGAGGUGAAAUUCUUGGACCGUUUGAAGACAAACUACUGCGAAAGCAUUUGCCAAGAAUGUUUUCAUUAAUCAAGAACGAAAGUUAGAGGUUCGAAGGCGAUUAGAUACCGCCCUAGUUCUAACCAUAAACGAUGCCAGCUAGCGAUCUGCCUGCGUUUUUACUGUAGACUGGGCAGGAAGCUUCCGGGAAACCAAAGCAUUUGGGUUCCAGGGGAAGUAUGGUUGCA